CCAUUCAACGAAGGAGCAGGCGCGCAAUUACCCAAUCCUGACUCAGGGAGGUAGUGACAAGAAAUGACAAUAAACCGGCUUAUGCCGGUUUAAUUGGAAUGAGUACAAUUUAAACAUCUUAACGAGGAACAAUUGGAGGGCAAGUCUGGUGCCAGCAGCCGCGGUAAUUCCAGCUCCAAUAGCGUAUACUAAAGUUGUUGCAGUUAAAAAGCUCGUAGUUGGAUUUCUGUGGGGACGGAGCGGCCGGCCGCACAUCGCGGUUCGAGCUAGCGCUUUCCCUACAUCCUGCCGCGAACCGUGCUACCAUUAGUUUGGUGGCGCCGGGGAUCGGCUCGAUUACUUUGAGAAAAAUAGAGUGUUCAAAGCAGGCCACAUGCCUUGAAUAAGUUAGCAUGGAAUAAUAACUAAGGACUUCGGUUCUAUUUUGUUGGUGUUCGGGACUGAAGUAAUGAUUGAUAGGGACAGUUGGGGCGGUCUGUAUUCCAAAGCGAGAGGUGAAAUUCUUAGACCUUCGGAAGACAAACAGCUGCGAAAGCGUUCCGCAAGGAUGUUCCCUUUGAUCAAGAACGAAAGUUGGGGGAUCGAAGACGAUCAGAUACCGUCGUAGUCUCAACUAUAAACUAUACCAGCUAGGGAUCGGCCAACGUUAUUUUAUACCGACUUGGUCGGCACCUUAUGAGAAAUCAAAGCAUCUGGGUUCCGGGGGGAGUAUGGUCGCAAGGCUGAAACUUAAAGGAAUUGACGGAAGGGCACCACCAGCCGUGGAGCCUGUGGCUUAAUUUGACUCAACACGGGAAAACUUACCAGGUCCAGACAUAGUAAGGAUUGACAGAUUGAUAGCUCUUUCUUGAUUCUGUGGGUGGUGGUGCAUGGCCGUUCUUAGUUGGUGGAGUGAUUUGUCUGGUUAAUUCCGUUAACGAACGAGACCCCAGCCUGCUAAAUAGCGCGAGUGAGCUUUGCUCGCUGCGAGCUUCUUAGAGGGACUAUGAUGCGCGAUAGCACAUGGAAGUUUGGGGCAAUAACAGGUCUGUGAUGCCCUUAGAUGUUCUGGGCCGCACACGGGCUACACUGGCGCCUGCAACGAGCAUAUCAGCUGGCCUGAGAGGGUCUUGGCUAAUCUUUUGAACCGGCGCCGUGCUUGGGAUUGACCUUUGCAAUUGUUGGUCAUGCAACGAGGAAUGCCUUGUAAACGCGAGUCAUCAGCUCGCAUUGAAUACGUCCCUGCCCUUUGUACACACCGCCCGUCGCUCCUACCGAUGAAUGUUCCGAUGAAAUUUUCGGAGAGCACCUGUGAACUUGGCUCUGCCUUGCGAACGGGAGGCUCAAAGUCACAUAAAUCUGAACAUUAAG
rnacentral:rRNA from 1 species